GAAAGGCCGGGGUUCUGCCUUUGCGCCUGCGCAGUGUGGUCGUGUUUUGGGGAGUUUGGCAUCUGGAGCAAGUGAAAAGUUUCAGAAAGAUUCGGGCAGCAGAAACGGAUUGAGGAAUCCUCAGAAGAGAUGGUGGGAAAGCCUUGGAGUAGAUGUGAUCACCAGAGAACCUCUGAAGAAAGAGAAGGAAGAUUAGCCCUCGGCUAACUACUGCCAGUCCUCUCUUUGCUGAGGAAGCCUGGCU